GGCUCAGAUUGAACGCUGGCGGCAUGCCUUACACAUGCAAGUCGAACGGCAGCACGGGAGCAAUCCUGGUGGCGAGUGGCGAACGGGUGAGUAAUAUAUCGGAACGUGCCCAGUCGUGGGGGAUAACGCAGCGAAAGCUGUGCUAAUACCGCAUACGAUCUCUGGAUGAAAGCGGGGGACUCGUAAGAGCCUCGCGCGAUUGGAGCGGCCGAUAUCAGAUUAGCUAGUUGGUGGGGUAAAGGCCCACCAAGGCGACGACCUGUAGCUGGUCUGAGAGGACGACCAGCCACACUGGAACUGAGACACGGUCCAGACUCCUACGGGAGGCAGCAGUGGGGAAUUUUGGACAAUGGGCGCAAGCCUGAUCCAGCAAUGCCGCGUGCAGGAUGAAGGCCUUCGGGUUGUAAACUGCUUUUGUACGGAACGAAAAGGUCUGCCUUAAUACGGUGGGCCCAUGACGGUACCGUAAGAAUAAGCACCGGCUAACUACGUGCCAGCAGCCGCGGUAAUACGUAGGGUGCGAGCGUUAAUCGGAAUUACUGGGCGUAAAGCGUGCGCAGGCGGUUAUAUAAGACAGAUGUGAAAUCCCCGGGCUCAACCUGGGACCUGCAUUUGUGACUGUAAAGCUAGAGUACG
rnacentral:rRNA from 1 species